rnacentral:lncRNA from 1 species
GUUAGAAUAUUGUACCUUCUACCUUCGAACUCAGACCUUGCCCAAUUACAUGUGCCAACAUUAUUCUCUAAGUAGUCAGCUGCACCCGCAUGGAGUUGCCACAACCCCUCUAGUUGUUUUUUAAAUUCUUCGUGUCCAUAUGUUUUCGCUGCGUUUAUGAAGGCAGGCUCAAAUUCAUCCCAAAGAGCUUUCGACAUCUUGAAUUUUGACUUAACGUUACCUUUGACAUGGUAAAAACAAACGCCAUGGGCAGCUGAGCGAAAUACUUUUAAAACGGC